rnacentral:tRNA from 1 species
UGUUGAAGGUUUUAAGUU